UGGUGGCUUCGCAAUUGUACUCUGUGAACCCCGCCAGGACCGGAAGGUAGCAACGGUAGCAGAUCUAUGAUGUGCCGAGGUUUUGCUAG
rnacentral:SRP_RNA from 1 species